rnacentral:rRNA from 1 species
UUUUACCGCGGUCAUACGAUUAACCCAAGCUAACAGGAAUCCGGCGUAAAACGUGUUAAAGCCCUACAUCAAAUAGAGUUAAAUUUUAAUUAAACUGUAAAAAGCCAUAAUUACAACAAAAAUAGAUGACGAAAGUAACCCUACUGCAGCUGAUACACUAUAGCUAAGACCCAAACUGGGAUUAGAUACCCCACUAUGCUUAGCCCUAAACACAAAUAAUUACAGAAACAAAAUUUUGCCCGGGUGGUCCGCAUC